GAUGAACGCUGGCGGCGUGCCUAAUACAUGCAAGUCGAGCGAACGGACGAGAAGCUUGCUUCUCUGAUGUUAGCGGCGGACGGGUGAGUAACACGUGGAUAACCUACCUAUAAGACUGGGAUAACUUCGGGAAACCGUAGCUAAUACCGGAUAAUAUUUUGAACCGCAUGGUUCAAAAGUGAAAGACGGUCUUGCUGUCACUUAUAGAUGGAUCCGCGCUGCAUUAGCUAGUUGGUAAGGUAACGGCUUACCAAGGCAACGAUGCAUAGCCGACCUGAGAGGGUGAUCGGCCACACUGGAACUGAGACACGGUCCAGACUCCUACGGGAGGCAGCAGUAGGGAAUCUUCCGCAAUGGGCGAAAGCCUGACGGAGCAACGCCGCGUGAGUGAUGAAGGUCUUCGGAUCGUAAAACUCUGUUAUUAGGGAAGAACAUAUGUGUAAGUAACUGUGCACAUCUUGACGGUACCUAAUGAGAAAGCCACGGCUAACUACGUG
rnacentral:rRNA from 1 species